GCCUUCGUGGCCUAGUCGGGUGAAAUGGAGGAAAUCUAGUGCGGUAGAACUCGGGUUCGAGCCCCGGUGAAGGUA